rnacentral:rRNA from 1 species
GUGGGGAAUAUUGGACAAUGGGCGAAAGCCUGAUCCAGCCAUGCCGCGUGUGUGAAGAAGGUCUUCGGAUUGUAAAGCACUUUAAGUUGGGAGGAAGGGCAGUAAGUUAAUACCUUGCUGUUUUGACGUUACCAACAGAAUAAGCACCGGCUAACUUCGUGCCAGCAGCCGCGGUAAUACGAAGGGUGCAAGCGUUAAUCGGAAUUACUGGGCGUAAAGCGCGCGUAGGUGGUUUGGUAAGAUGGAUGUGAAAUCCCCGGGCUCAACCUGGGAACUGCAUCCAUAACUGCCUGACUAGAGUACGGUAGAGGGUGGUGGAAUUUCCUGUGUAGCGGUGAAAUGCGUAGAUAUAGGAAGGAACACCAGUGGCGAAGGCGACCACCUGGACUGAUACUGACACUGAGGUGCGAAAGCGUGGGGAGCAAACAGGAUUAGAUACCCGUGUAGUCC